GAAUAUAAAUAGUUGCUGGAAAGAACACUGACAGCUUGAAAGCAAAAUGAAGCUCUUUCUAUUGCUUUCAGCCAUUGGAUUCUGCUGGGCUCAGUAUGCCCCAAAUACCGAAUCUGGACGGACAUCUAUUGUCCAUCUGUUUGAGUGGCGCUGGGUUGAUAUUGCUCUUGAAUGUGAGCGAUACUUAGCUCCCAAAGGAUUUGGAGGGGUUCAGGUUUCCUCACCCAAUGAAAAUGCGGUAAUUAAUAAUCCUUCAAGACCUUGGUGGGAAAGGUACCAACCAGUUAGCUACAAGUUAUGUACAAGAUCAGGAAAUGAGAAUGAAUUCAAAGACAUGGUGACUAGAUGUAACAACGUUGGUGUCCGUAUUUAUGUGGAUGCUGUAAUUAAUCAUAUGUGUGGAAAUGGUGUGGCUGCAGGAACGAGCAGUACUUGUGGGAGUUACUUCAACCCUGGAACUGAGGAUUUUCCAGCAGUCCCGUACUCUGGUUGGGAUUUUAAUGAUGGUAAAUGUAAAACUAGAAGUGGAGAAAUUGAGAGCUAUAAUGAUGCUUCUCAGGUCCGAGAUUGUCGUCUGGUUGGUCUUCUUGAUCUUGCACUGGAGAAAGAUUAUGUGCGCUCCACAAUUGCUGAAUAUCUAAACCGUCUCAUUGACAUUGGUGUAGCAGGGUUCAGAAUUGAUGCCGCUAAGCACAUGUGGCCUGGAGACAUGAAGGCAAUUUUGGAUAAACUGCAUAAUCUAAACAAAAGAUGGUUCCCUGCAGGAAGUAAACCUUUCAUUUACCAGGAGGUAAUUGAUCUGGGUGGUGAGCCAAUUAAAAGCAGUGAGUACUUUGGAAAUGGCCAUGUGACAGAAUUUAAAUAUGGUGCAAAACUAGGCACAGUUCUGCGCAAGUGGAAUGGAGAGAAGAUGUCUUACUUAAAGAACUGGGGAGAAGGCUGGGGUUUCAUGCCUUCUGACAGAGCACUUGUCUUUGUUGAUAACCAUGACAAUCAGCGAGGGAGUGGAGCUGGGGGAGCAUCUAUUCUUACAUUCUGGGACCCUAGACUGUACAAAAUGGGAGUUGGAUUUAUGCUCGCUCAUCCCUAUGGAUUUACACGAGUAAUGUCAAGCUACCGUUGGCCAAGACAUUUUGAAAACGGAAAAGAUGUUAAUAAUUGGAUUGGGCCACCAAAUAAUAAUGGAGUCAUUAAAGAAGUUACUAUUAAUCCAGAUACUACUUGUGGCAAUGACUGGGUCUGUGAACAUCGAUGGCGUCAAAUAAGGAACAUGGUUGUGUUCCGCAAUGUAGUUGAUGGCCAACCUUUUACAAACUGGUGGGAUAAUGGUAGCAACCAAGUAGCUUUUGGAAGAGGAAACAGAGGAUUCAUUGUCUUUAACAAUGAUGACUGGGCAUUAUCUUCAACUUUGCAAACUGGUCUUCCUGCUGGUACAUAUUGUGAUGUCAUUUCUGGAGAUAAAAUUGCAAGGGUGUGUGAAGCCAUUUGUGUGUGGACUCAGAUACCACUGACACACAGUGAAAUAGAGUACUCAGCUUGGGUAACAUCUCCACGUGGAUCGGCUAGAUGCAUCUCAACCUCAAGAUAUGAUUAAAGACAACUAUGAUGAAAUAGAACCUCAGAAUCUCAUGUGGAAGGGCAAAUGAAGAAUGUUAACUGCUGAGUUAGUAUCUACUCUGUAACAGGACUAUGUGGUGGAUGACUGAAGCCUCUUGUCAACAUCUGUGUAAGUGAACUUAGAGGCAGAUCCUUAAGCCCUAAAUAACUACAGCCCUGGUCAACAGCUUGACUACAGCCAAUGAGAGACAUGAGCCAGAAAUACCCAGCUAAGCUACAUCCAGAAACUUUACCCUCAGAAACUGUGUCAGAGCUCUUCUUUCAGGAAGUCCACUUGAGCCUACACCCUCCAGCCUGACCUGGUUUACAUGCUCCUACUCUGUGCUUCAUAAAAUCCUGAGAAUGUAAUUCCAUCACUGGACCACUGGAUAGAUCCAGAAUAAUAAUUUUCUCUGUGAGCCUGUGAAGUGACUGCUACUGACUUUGGAAUGAUUCUUCUACAUCAGAUUUUUACAAGAUACUGAAUACAGUUCCCUGUGCUAUAAGUGUUCAAGGAAAUUUCUGUCAAAACUCUAUCUCGUCUAACCACAAGCUAAAGGAGCAGAGAUCUCAAAGACCACACAUGACAAAGAAUACAACCUUUACAAAUAAUACUUUAGAAGUCAUUAAACAAAGAGCUAUAACACACAUAGCAAUAAAAACAAACCAUGAGGACAAGAAUAAUAUAAUUUCCAGAGUUACUACAUUAUAAUAUGUCAAAUUGUGCAGUUUUCAACCAAAAAUUAUGGAGUAUGAAAAGAAACAGGAAAAUAUAAUCCAUUCACAGGAGAAUUUCAUAGAAACUGUCCCUAAGGGAGCAGACACAUUGGACUUACUAAGUGUUAACUAUGAUAAAUGAGCUAAAGGAAGCCAGGAGAAAGAUGUCUUAACAAAUGGAGAAUAUCAAUAAAGGGAUAGAAAAUAUAAAAAAGAAGAAAACAUUUCGAGAGCUGAAAAGUAUAUUAACUAAAAUGAAGAAAUCACUUGAGCUUUUCAACAGCAUAUUUGAGCAGGCAGAAUAGAAUUGGCAAACUUGAAGACUGAAAUUAUCCACUCUGAGGAGCAGAAAGAAAAAAGAAUGAAGAAAAAUGAACAGAAUUUAAGAUACCUGUGCAACACCACCAAGGGUACCAACAUAAACAUAAUGGAAGUCCCAGAAAGAGAGAAUAGAGGGCAAAUGUCAGAAAGAAUAUUUGAAAAUAUAAUAGCCUAAAACCUCCCAAAUUUGUUAAGACAUGAACCUUUAUACCCAAGAAGCUCAACAAAUUCCAAGAAGGAUAAACACAAAGAGAUCUACACCGAGGCAUUUUAUAAUCAAACUGUUGAAAGACAAAGAGAGAAUCCUGAAAGAAGCAAGAGAGUAGCAAUUUGUCAUAUACAAGGAAUCCUCAAUAAGAGUAAUAGCCAAUUAAUCAGCAGAAACCAUGAAGGUCAGAAGGCAGUGGAAUAACAUAUUUAAAGUGUUGAAAGAAAAAAAUGAAUUCUAUAUGUGGCAAAACUAUCUUUCAAAAAUGAAGAAGAAAGUAAGAUAUUUCCAGAAAAAUAGAAGCUGAGGGUGUUAGUCCCUGGUAGACUUGCCCUAUAAGAAAUGCUAAAGAAAGUACUUCAGGAUGAAAUAAAAUGACGUUGAACAGCCAUGUGAAGUCAUACGAAGCAUAAAGAACACUGGUACAGGUAAUUAUGUAAUAAAUACAAAGCCAGUAUUAUUGUUGUUGGUUUUUUUUUUUGCAGUACACGGGGCCUCUCACUGUUGUGGCCUCUCCCGUUGUGGAGCACAGGCUCUGGACACGCAGGCUCAGUGGUCAUGGCUCACAGGCCCAGCCGCUCUGCAGUAUGUGGGAUCUUCCUGGACUGGGGCACGAACCCGUGUCCCCUGCAUCGGCAGGCAGAUUCUCAACCACUGUGCCACCAGGGAAACCCUAUUGUAUUUUUUAACUCCCCUUUUAUUUCUCUAUGUGAUUUAAAACACAAAUACAUAAAACAUUAAUUUAAAAUCUAUGUUAAUGGGCAACAAUGCAUAUAGAUGUAAUUUGUGACAAUAGCAAUAUAAAUGGGGAGGGACAGAGCUGUAUAGGAGAAGAGAUUUUGUACACUAUUGAAGAUAAGGUGGUAUUAGUACAAAAUAGAUUGUAAUAAGUUUAAAAGUUUAAUUAUAGUCCCCGGGGAAACCAAUAAGAAAAUAACUUAAAGAAAGGAAAGGAAAACAGAAUAAAAACUGUACACUAUAAAGAAUCAAGAAUCAAAUAAGCACAAAUAAUGCACUAAUGGAGGAAAUGAAAAACAACAACAAAGACACAUCCAAAACAAAUAGCAAAUGACAGAGAUUCUUUCUUAUCCCUAAUUACUUAAGUUUAAAUGGAUUAAACUGCCCAAUUAAAAGGCAAAAAUUGGCAGAAUAAAUUUUUUAUAAGUAUGAUCCAACUAUAUGUUGUCUACUAGGUACUCACUUAAAAUAAGUUAACUGGCAUCUGUUCUACAAUAAAGAGAUCUAAGAGACACAAUAAAACAAAAAGCCAUGUAAAAAUUUUGUUUAGAUCUUGAUUUCAAGAAAGCAACUGUAUAAAUACAUUUUAAAACAACUGAAUGAAGUUUGAUUAUGGAAAUCUGAUUAUGAUAUUAGAGGAUACUAAGGAAUAUCAUUACUUUUGCUGGUCAUGAUAACUCUGUAGCUUUGGGAAAUUUUAUUAAAUCACUUAGGGGGAAAAUUACAAGAUAUUUAGGAAUUGCUUUAAAACACUUUGUAAGGAAGAAAAUGAUAAAGAGGGAUAAAGCAAAUAUGGCAAAAUAUUGAUAAUUCUUCUUUAUUGGUGAUGGAUAUAUGAGGUUCAUCAUACUACUAUUUUUACUUUUUACUGUAUUUGAAUUAUUUUCAAACACUUAGACUGUGAUUACUUCUGACCCCCCCUCCACUGAUUUUAUCCUAAUAUAAGUCAUCACCAUCUCUCAUUGGCAUUAUUACAAUGGUCUGUAAUAUUGUGCUCCUUUAUCUACCAAUGCCCACUUAAAUCUGCUUUCAGGCAGAGAAAUCCUUUGCAGUAGAAAUGAAAAUGAAUACAACCUUUGAUUAUAACUAUUCCUUGACUCCCCAUGCCCCUCAGAGUAAAAGCCAAAGUUCUUGCAAUGUUCUAAAAGACUUUCCAUGACUUUGCUUUCCUUAAGUCUCUAGCCCCACCUCCACUGCUCCUCUCUCCCCGGGGCUCCAGUCACACUAGUCUCCCUCCUCAAACCAAAAAUGCCCCCACCCUAGGGCCUCUGCUCUAGUAGCUUCCUCUUCCUAUCAUCCAUAUAGCUAACUCUCUCACUUUCUUUAAGAUUUUGCUCAAAUGUCAUUUUCUUAAUGAGAUCAAUGGUGACCUUACUUUAUCCUGUCACAAUUAAAAUUACAACCUGCCCCUUCCCACUUCAGACACUCUCCACCUCCUCAACCUGCUUUAUUUUUCUUCAUAGCAUUUACCACUUUUGAACAUAUGUUUUUCUAAUUUAUUUUGCUAAUUUAUAAUUGUCUGUGUCUCUCUGAUGGAAUGGAAGCUCCAUCAGGGCAGGGAGUUUUAUGUAUUUAUUUGCUUGCUAAUUUGUUUAAUGCUAUAUUCCAAGUGCCUAAAAUAGUACAUGGAGCAUUGUAGGCAUUCAAUAAAUAUUUGGGGGGAGAAUGAGUGAAUGAAUUUUUAAACCAAUGGUAAAAUUACAUUUGAUGCAUUAAAUAUGAUUGUGUGUAUACAAGUCACACUACAAUAAAAAUUUAACAAAUGUCAAUUUAGAUAAAAUAUGGAAUUUGAAGUUGGUUGUUAGUUUAUAAAGUGUUGAUUGCUUUGUUUACCCAUCUAGAGUAGUUUGAUACUCUCCAGCUAAAAGAGCACAAAUAUUGUAAUUAAUGCUAUGGUUUUAGUUUAGUUUUGAGCGAGACAAUGACAAGUAGAACUUUGACAUUUGUCAAAAUACAUGUUAGGUUUUUUUUAAAUAUAUAUAUUUGUUUCUGUCCAAGUGAUGAUUAUUAACAAAGAAUGUUAAUUUUUUGAGAGUAAUUAUUAUGAUAGGUGCUACAGGAUAUAUCAGAAAUAAAUUUUUAUUAAAAAUUGAUAAAAUCACUUUUUAUAACUCAUCUUUUCCAAGAGAAAAAACUAGCUGGAUGAAAGUUUAUUUAAAAGCUAUGUUUAAUCCUCAUAUCUUCUCAGUGUGAUACCAUACCUCUUGCUCGUUGAGAAGAAUUCACCUACAGUCACUAUUAAAUGAAAGAAAAAAGAAGAGCUAUCUUUGAAAUUGGAAACAAAAUUUAAAGAGUCUAAAAAGGAGAAACAUGUACUGUGCUUAUCUAUUUGCAUAAAAAAUUUAAAAACAUUAGAUAAAGUAAAGAAAGUUGAAAAGAGAAAGUGGAAUAAGUAAAGCUUGCAGGCAUUUUUCCCAUUGAUUCUUUGACGAGUUGUGAAACUGCUGAGAAGGAUGUGAAAGGAGAGGUCCAAAAUAAUGUUUACUGGUUUUGACUAACCAACUAACUGAAUGAAUGAUAAAGGAAUGAAAUGUAAAAUUCAGGGAAAUAUAUACAUUUUAUACCUUGAUUUCAACAAGGCAUUUGACUCUCUGCUACAAUAUCUUUAUGAUAAAAAGGGAGAAACUUGGACCAAAUACAAACACAUUUGGGUACAUUUUAACUGGUUGAGCAAAUAUACCUAAUGCUUAUUAAUUAAUGGAUUAGUGCAAGCUUUAAUUACAUAAACGGGGCUCUUUGGCUUUUGGUAUAUUAACUCAGAGGAAUAAUAAUAAUUCCUGACAUUGUAUUGCAUUUUAUAGUUCACAAAGAGCUCAUUUGUGAGCUCUCAUUUAAUCCUCAUCAUAGCCCUGUGCUGAAGGCUGGGACAAUGUGAUUAUCUUUCUUUAACUAGAUAUGGAAACUGAUUUUAUUUUUCUAAUAAAGUGAUUAUAUUUAACUAAAUAUGGGUAAAUGAUUUGCCUAAAGACAUAUGGGAAUGCAUAUGCUUAUUAAUAAAAACAGCUAAGAGAAAUAACUAACAUGUUGGAUAAAAUAAUACAGAUUCAAAAACAUUCCCUAAAUUCAGCACAAAGGUUAUAAAAAUGUCAAAUAUAAAUUUCACAAUCAAAAGACAUAUCUUGAGAGCUUUAUAUCAGAAAGUAAAAUAAGGUUUUAGUUGACAGAACAUAAACAUAAAAGAAUAUGUAUUGUAAUCUUAGCCUAUGCAACUGUGCAUGAUUUUAAGCUCUACUCAUAAUCAGGGUAAUGGUCAACAAGAUUGUGUGCAGAAGAGCAUAUUGGAAAUUACUGGAGAAAAUUCUAGAAUUUAACUUGAACAUUUCUUUUGUUAAAAUAAUUUUUAAACAUUUGUAGGAAGGUAAUAUGUAAGAAACAGGUAUAUAAAUAAUAGUUCCAAGGUGAAAGUAGGGUUAACGAAUAGAUUGUCUACAGAGGCAGUUUUAUUCUCUGUAAAAAUAAAAUUUUAUAAGAUAUAAAAAUAGAACAACUCAACACUAUAAGAAAUGGUCUUGUGAAGUAAGGGAGUCUGAGUCAUUGGGAGUAUUUAAACAGAUCUGGAUAAACUUGCCAAAAUCAUGACAGAGAACAUUUAUUUUCUUGGAUAAAAAUGUAUUAGAUUCUGUUUUACUAUAACAUAUUCCUAAUUAAAUUGGUCAUAUUGUCCUUGAAUAUUGUUACCAGGCACUGGAGAAAACAUACCCACUAUAUAUAUAUAUAUUUUCUGUUUUGACCUAUUUACCUGAUUUUUGGCACCAGGCAUUAUAUUUAAACUCUUGCCUUUAUGACAAAUAAGAUAUGAUUUAAUUCUUGUUAUUACUGUCAACUUUAAAAAUAUUCAGGUUUUAAACAAAAGGGAAUUAUAUCAGAUAGCUAUUUAUUAAGUUAAAAAAUUAAAGUAUUCAAAUGUGUAUGCAUAAAGAUAUUUUCAAAGGCUAAUAUUAUAUAAAAUAGGUUUCAGAUGAAAACAAACAGAAAAAAAUUUCUCAUUCUUCCAGAGAAUACUCUUCCCUAUGUUUGAAAAUUUAUAAAAGGAAUUUUGUGAUUUUAAGAGUUAGAGUUAUAUCUGUUAGAUUUUAGCAUUUGGAUGCCUGAAGUGGGACAUUGUCUCAAUAAUGGUGAUGCUAGCUUUUGCUUUGCUGUUCAGAAUCACACUUUGCAAGCACAUCCAUUAAGAGAUUCUUCCUAAAGUAUAUCUAAAAGGCUAAAUGUUUUCUGCUGUGCUAAGUGUAUUAAUUUCCAUUAUCUUCUAGUACCUUCCUCUUGGUAAUCAUCUGCAGACAACCACCUGUAGAAGAGCAACUCUAUAUUUAUGUAUAAAUAAAAUAGGUUAUAUAUAUGCUUUUCUAUUUUUCUCCACAAAAAAAGGUGUUUUACUCCUGCUGUUCAACGCAUUUUGAUGUGCUGUUCUAUAAAUUUAAAGCAAGGUUAAAAAUAAAAUUAAUCAAGAUUCAUCUGGCAGCAUUGCAAGUUAGUAUCAUACACCUGGCACAUAAAUUCCAAAGCAAAGUGAUUCUUUGGGAAAGAACUGCUUGAUAAACAGCAGAACUAAAAAAAAGAUGAGCAGAUGACAGUGCAUUGAAAAUUAGAUAAAAGCCUGCAAUGUGCUAUUGCAGGAGAUGUAAUGAGACAAGAUAGAGCAAAGGGAAAACUAGACAGAAUAAGGAGAAAAAUUCCUAAGUGUGAGGUAUUUUACAGCGGCAAAUAGUUUCCCAGGAAAUAGUGGAAACUCUCCCUUGAAUAAUUUCAAAGUAGAGUAGGAAAUUGGACUGAGAAUAUAAAGUGGUGACAAAACUUUAAUGACUGAAGAAUAAGAUGAUGCAAUAAAGAAACAAGAAAUACAAAUUCAAAGAGUUAGGUGAUUUUGAACAUGAUGGUUUUGUUAAGUUUCUCUCUCAUUAACAAUAAUAAUAAUUGUAAUAUUUAAAAUUUAUGAAAAUUUUUAUAAAUCCCUAAAAACCAUAACUAAUCAAAAAGAAUACAAUUUAAUCUUUGUAGAUAUGUUGAAAACUAAGACUUACAGUUGAGCCUCUGAUGACACUGCAGCCCCUGCUGAUACUUGGAUUGAAGCUUUGUAAGAGCCUGAGCAGAGGACACAGUUAAGCUGUGCCCUGACUCCUGAGCCAUGGAAAUUGUGAGAUAAUAAAUGUAUAUUUUUUAAGUGGCUAAGAUUUUUUAUAAGCAAUAGAAAACAAACACAGGCAUCAAUGCUUAAAACAAGAACAUGUUACUUAAAAGAUUAUAUAAAGAAUAUUUAACUAAUAUAGUAUUGAAUUGAAAUGAAUGAUGCCAGAAAACUGCUUGCCCUCAUAUUUGCACCUGUCAGUAACGUUAUAGUCUAAGCCCUUUUGCAGAGCACAGUUUUCAUUUCCAUCUCUAGUUAAAUUGGGACUGGUGCCUCUUAUCUGUUUUUUAAAAAUCUUUAGCCUUUGGGGAAAAAAAAUCAAUACAAGGACUGAUUCUAUCUUUAGAUUAAAAGUGUAUGCAAGUUGUUAAUGAGUAAUAAUCAGAGGAUAAUUUAGGAGAAUUUCAAGUUUUCUCUUUGUUCUAAGUAUUAUAUAAAUUUGCCUUAAAAAUGCCCUGUUAAUAAAGGCCGUAUAUGAAAAGCUUACAGCUAAUAUUGUAAACAUUUGGGAAAAACUGAAAACUUUUUCUCUAAGAUCAGGUUGAUCACUUCUAUUCAACAUAGUACCAGAAGUCCUAGCCAGAGCAACUAGGCAAGAAAAAGAAACAAAAUUCACCUAAGUUGGAAAAAAGAAGUAAAAUUGUCCCUGUUUGCAGAUGGCAUGCUCUUGUACAUAGAAAUACCCAAAGACUCCACAAAAAAAAAUGUUAGAACUAAUAAACUAAUUCAGUCAAGUUGUGGGAUAAAAAAAAUCAACAUACAAAAAUCAGUAGUAUAUCAUACAUUAAAAAUGAACUAUCUGAAAAGGAAACUAAAAAAACAAUUUCAUUUACAAUACCACCAAAAAGAAUAAAAUGCUUAGGGAUAAACUUAAUUAAGGAAGUAAAAGACUUUAACACUGAAAACUACAAAACACUGAUGAAAGAAAUUAAAGAAUAUACAAAAAUAAAAAAUGGAAAGACAUCUUGUGUUCAUGGAUAAGACAAUAUUGUUGAAAUACCCAUAAUACUCAGUGGUUCAGAUUUAAUGCAAUCCUUAUCAAAAUCCUAAUGGCAGGUUUUUUUUAAAAAUUUUU